rnacentral:rRNA from 1 species
AACGUAGGGGGCAAGCGUUGCUCGGAUUCACUGGGUGUAAAGGGCGCGUAGGCGGAUAAACAAGUCGGAUGUGAAAUCCCGGGGCUCAACCCCGGAACUGCAUCCGAAACUGUUUAUCUGGAGUAGUGGAGAGGAAAGCGGAACUCCUGGUGUAACGGUGAAAUGUGUAGAUAUCAGGAGGAACGCCGAUAGCGAAGGCAGCUUUCUGGACACUUAUUGACGCUGAGGCGCGAAAGCGUGGGGAGCAAACAGG